UGUGCAUGAGUGUGUGAAUUUUGUAUAUUUCCUUUCCUAAACUGACAUUUAUAAACCAUUUCUCACCAAUUAAUUUUACCGGAAUACUUCUACAUUAGGCAUUCUUCACUUUGGAAUUCAAAAAAUUCAUCGUCUUAUUCGUCGAAAUUUGGGUUCCCAAGUUAUUUUAUGUCAAAGCAACGGCACUAUUGGACGUGUUCUUUUCGUUAAAUCGAUAAGCCGCAAAGAAUUGAACAUACGGUUUUAAAUUAAAAUUGAUUAUUUGAUUAACUAUGUGGUAUUUUCUUUGAUUUCAUGUAAAUAUACUUUUACAUAUGUUUAUAAGAUGUAACGUAUGGGUGUGAGUUCUGGAUGAUAAGCAGAAUCAUGGAGAAGAGAUUCAAAGGUGCAGAAAUGUGAUUUCACAGAAAAUUUUCCCAGAAUUUCUUGGGUUGACGAAUGUGGAAGUGUUGAAAAA